ACCAAGGCGACGAUCCGUAGCUGGUCUGAGAGGAUGAUCAGCCACACUGGAACUGAGACACGGUCCAGACUCCUACGGGAGGCAGCAGUGGGGAAUAUUGGACAAUGGGCGCAAGCCUGAUCCAGCCAUACCGCGUGGGUGAAGAAGGCCUUCGGGUUGUAAAGCCCUUUUGUUGGGAAAGAAAAGCAGUCGAUUAAUACUCGGUUGUUCUGACGGUACCCAAAGAAUAAGCACCGGCUAACUUCGUGCCAGCAGCCGCGGUAAUACGAAGGGUGCAAGCGUUACUCGGAAUUACUGGGCGUAAAGCGUGCGUAGGUGGUUGUUUAAGUCUGUUGUGAAACCCUGGGCUCACCUGGGAUUGCAGUGGAUACUGGACGACUAGAGUGUGGUAGAGGGAGUGGAUUCCCGGUGUAGCAGUGAAUGCGUAGAGACGGGAG
rnacentral:rRNA from 1 species